GGGUGGUAAAUUUCAUCUAAAGCUAAAUACUGGUCGGAGACCGAUAGCGCACAAGUAGAGUGAUCGAAAGAUGAAAAGCACUUUGAAAAGAGAGUUAAACAGCAUGUGAAAUUGUUGAAAGGGAAGCGCUUGCGACCAGAGUCGGCCGCGGGGGUUCAGCGGGCAUUCGUUGCCCGUGCACUCCCCCGGGGCCGGGCCAGCGUCGGUUUCGACGGCCGGUCAAAGGCCCCCGGAAUGUGUCGCCUCUCGGGGCGUCUUAUAGCCGGGGGUGCAAUGCGGCCAGUCGGGACCGAGGAACGCGCUUCGGCACGGACGCUGGCUUAAUGGUCGUAAGCGACCCGUCUUGAAACACGGAC
rnacentral:rRNA from 2 species